rnacentral:rRNA from 1 species
GCGCACCAGGCGCGAAAACUUCGCAAUGCGCGAAAGCGCGACGAGGGGAUUCCAAGUGCAUGCACUAAGUGUAUGCUUUUCGUGAGUUUAAAACGCUCACGGAAUAAGGGCUGGGUAAGACUGGUGCCAGCCGCCGCGGUAAUACCAGCGGCCCUAGUGGUGAUCGUUAUUAUUGGGCCUAAAGCGUCCGUAGCCGGUCCGGUAAAUCUCUGGGUAAAUCGUUGGGCUUAACUCAGCGAAUUCUGGGGAGACUGCUGGACUUGGGACCGGGAGAGGUCGGAGGUACUCCAGGGGUAGGGGUGAAAUCCUGUAAUCCUUGGGGGACCACCGGUGGCGAAGGCGUCCGACCAGAACGGGUCCGACGGUAAGGGACGAAGCCCUGGGGCGCGAACCGGAUUAGAUACCCGCGUAGU